rnacentral:lncRNA from 1 species
UUAAUAGAAACAGGUUGUUUAUUUUACUUUUUCUUUUUGUCUUGAAUUAUUUUAGAUGGCUACAUGUAGAGUGCCUGGAUUCAUCUGCACUGAAACUCCUUGAGAAUUUUGAUAGGUUGAGCCAAAACAGAAUAAUGAAAUGAACCCUUCUAGGCAGGAAGGCAGAAACAGACAUAAAAGAUGAUUUCUUUGUGUUAUCUGGCCUUUAUGGAAAGAACCAUGAUGAGCUUCCAGAAAAUGCAUUAUUGAUGUGAUGUAAUAAGGAGAUUAAAGCAGCUGCAUCAUCUCAUUAACCUUCACCCCUAGAGAAGAUGGCAAGACCUCGCUAGGAAAAACAGAGCCAGCUGUCCUGUGAGCUUUACUCUCCAACCCCGUCACAGCUUGUGGCCACACUAUUUCAAAUUCACAUAUUUGCAUUAAGUACCACUGGACUGGGUAAGAAGCAUCUUUACUUCAGCAAGAAGAAUCAUAGAGAAAACUACCCGGAG